CCUACGGGUGGCAGCAGUGGGGAAUAUUGGACAAUGGGCGAAAGCCUGAUCCAGCCAUGCCGCGUGUGUGAAGAAGGCCUUCGGGUUGUAAAGCACUUUCAGUGGGGAAGAAAGCCUUGGGGCUAAUACCCUCGAGGAAGGACAUCACCCACAGAAGAAGCACCGGCUAACUCCGUGCCAGCAGCCGCGGUAAUACGGAGGGUGCGAGCGUUAAUCGGAAUUACUGGGCGUAAAGCGCGCGUAGGCGGUCUGAUAAGCCGGUUGUGAAAGCCCCGGGCUCAACCUGGGAACGGCAUCCGGAACUGUCAGGCUAGAGGGCAGGAGAGGAAGGUAGAAUUCCCGGUGUAGCGGUGAAAUGCGUAGAGAUCGGGAGGAAUACCAGUGGCGAAGGCGGCCUUCUGGACUGACACUGACGCUGAGGUGCGAAAGCGUGGGUAGCAAACAGGAUUAGAUACCCCGGUAGUC
rnacentral:rRNA from 1 species